rnacentral:lncRNA from 1 species
GUACCCCUCCUCUGGACUCUUUCCAGUAUAAUCAUAGAAUCAUUAAGGUUGGAAAAGACCUUCAAGAUCAUCUGGUCCAACCAUGAUCCUACUACCAAUGUCACCCACUAAACCAUGUCCCUAAGCACCAGGUCCAACCUUUCCUUGUACAUCCCCAGGGGUGGUGACUUCACUACUUUGCUGGGCAACCUGUUCCAAUGCCUGACUACUCUUUCUGAGAAGAAAUGUCUCCUAAUUUCCAACCUGAACCUCCCUUGGUGCAAUUUGAGGCCAUUCCCUCUAGCUCUAUCAUUAGUUAUCUGUGAGAGGAGGCUGACUCCCCAGCUCCCCACAACUUCCUUUCAGGUAGUUGUAGAGAGCAAUAAUGUCUCCCCUGAGCCUCCUCUUCACCAGACUAAACAACCCCAGUUCCAUCAGCCGCUCCUCAAAGGAGUUGUGUUGCAGGCCCUUCACCAGCUUCGUAGCCCUUCUCUGGACACACUCCAGGGCCUCGAUGUCCUAUGUCCCUCUUGUACUGGGGAGCCAAGAACCGGGCACAAUACUCCAGGUGUGGCCUCACCAGGACUGAGUAGAGUGGGAAGAUCACCUCCCUUGGCCUGCUGGCAACACUCUUCAGAAUGCGCCACAGGAUACUCUUGGCCUUCUUGGUCACAAGGGCACACUGUUGACUCAUGGUCAGCCUACUGUCCACCAGGACUCUCAGGUCCCUCUCUGCAGAGCUGCACUCCAGCAGGUCACAGCCAGGCUGAAGAUGAAGUGUGUCAUGCUCCAAAACCACCCAACUUCUCCCAGCAUUUGCAUGCCAGGUGCCCUGGGGCAUCGAGACAUUCUCCUUGCCACCCCAGAACACGGUGCUGCCUCGUUUCUCUUCCAGGGCACCGCCAUGAGGUUGCUGUUGAGAAAUGCUGAAGCAAUUUGGUGCUGCAGAAGGUGGAUGGCUGUCUUCCAUGGCUCAAAUUCUCAAAGGCCUUCAUGGCAGGCUGCUGUGGUGUAGCAGACGCAGCACAGCCCUCAGCUCUGCCCAGGAGACACUGGCUCUCCUGGAGACAACAGUAUUUCUGCCUCCCAUCAGGCAGCUAAAUCCUCAGCUCCC